rfam:Gossypium arboreum cultivar AKA8401 contig_15930_7, whole genome shotgun sequence.
AAACCAUGAUGAGGACAUCUUUGUAUCAGUGACUUAAACUACUCCCAAGCUUCAUGAAAAUUCUCUCCGUCCAUUUGUUUGAAGUUCGUGAUCUCUCUUCUUAGUUA